UACGAAGGGGGGCUAGCGUUGUUCGGAAUUACUGGGCGUAAAGCGCACGUAGGCGGAAUGUUAAGUCAGGGGGUGAAAUCCCGGGGGCUCAACCCCCGGAACUGCCUUUGAUACUGGCAUUCUCGAGUCCGGAAGAGGUGAGUGGAAUUCCGAGUGUAGAGGUGAAAAUUCGUAGAUAUUCGGAGGAACACCAGUGGCGAAGGCGGCUCACUGGUCCGGUACUGACGCUGAGGUGCGAAAGCGUGGGGAGCAAACAGG
rnacentral:rRNA from 1 species